UGCGAUGAUGGUGUAAUUUGCGGCUUACCGUGUAUUCAGCGACAGCCUGCUGUCAUGAAGCGGAUACCACGGGCUGACGAGAGAUGAGUCUGAGCA